rnacentral:lncRNA from 1 species
AGGGGUUCAAGCUGCUUAAUUAAGGUUAAAACAGAUUCAAUCUCAACUUAAAAAGGAAGAGUUUGUAGAAGAAAAUGACAAUAGUGACACAAGAAAAUAAUAGAUCAAGGAAGAACAAGAAUUCAAUCAGUGAUCCGCAGGAACCUUUGUUACCUACCAAGCAUGAGGAAGAUGUUGGUUUUGACGAGUUUAACGGGGCUUCGUUUACUGGAGCUGUUUUUAAUUUGUCCACCACUGUUGUUGGUG